GACAGAGGUCCCGAGCGUUAGGCGGAAUCACUGGGCUUAAAGCGUGUGUAGGCGGACUUCUAAGUACCUUGUGAAAUCCCACGGCUUAACCGUGGAACUGCUGGGCAUACUGCGGGUCUUGGGCCAACUAGGGGCAGCCGGAACAAGCGGUGGAGCGGUGAAAUGCGUAGAUAUCAUUUGGAACGCCGAUGGUGAAAACAGGUAGCUGGGGCUGUACUGACACUGAGACACGAAAGCCAGGGAGCAAACGGG
rnacentral:rRNA from 1 species